rnacentral:rRNA from 1 species
CAGUAGCCGCGGGAAUACAGAGGGUGCAAGCGUUAAUCGGAAUUACUGGGCGUAAAGCGCGCGUAGGUGGUUUGUUAAGUUGGAUGUGAAAUCCCCGGGCUCAACCUGGGAACUGCAUCCAAAACUGGCAAGCUAGAGUAUGGUAGAGGGUGGUGGAAUUUCCUGUGUAGCGGUGAAAUGCGUAGAUAUAGGAAGGAACACCAGUGGCGAAGGCGACCACCUGGACUGAUACUGACACUGAGGUGCGAAAGCGUGGGGAGCAAACAGGAUUAGAGACCCCUGUAGUCCCUGUCUCUUAUAC